rnacentral:rRNA from 1 species
ACUCAAAUGAAUUGACGGGGGCCCGCACAAGCGGUGGAGCAUGUGGUUUAAUUCGAUGCAACGCGAAAAACCUUACCUACCCUUGACAUGUCUGGAAGUCUGCAGAGAUGCGGAUGUGCCUGCGAGGGAGCCAGAACACAGGUGCUGCAUGGCUGUCGUCAGCUCGUGUCGUGAGAUGUUGGGUUAAGUCCCGUAACGAGCGCAACCCCUAUUGUUAGUUGCCAGCGAGUAAAGUCGGGGACUCUAAUAAGACUGCCGGUGAUAAACCGGAGGAAGGUGGGGAUGAUGUCAAGUCAUCAUGGCCCUUAUGGGUAGGGCUACACACGUGCUACAAUGGCCGAUACAAAGGGAAGCGAAGCUGAGAAGUGGAGCGGAGCCUAAAAAGUCGGUCGUAGUCCGGAUUGGAGUCUGCAACUCGACUCCAUGAAGUCGGAAUCGCUAGUAAUCGUGGAUCAGCAUGCCACGGUGAAUACGUUCCCGGGCCUUGCACACACCGCCCGU